UAAAGAUUCAUCGCUGAUAGAUAGGCAUGCGUUCCAUUAGGCAGUUGGCGGGGUAACGGCCCACCAAACCGACGAUGGAUAGGGGUUCUGAGAGGAAGGUCCCCCACAUUGGUACUGAGACACGGACCAAACUCCUACGGGAGGCAGCAGUGAGGAAUAUUGGUCAAUGGGCGUAAGCCUGAACCAGCCAAGUCGCGUGAGGGAUGAAGGUUCUAUGGAUCGUAAACCUCUUUUAUAAGGGAAUAAAGUGCGGGGCGUGUCCCGUUUUGUAUGUACCUUAUGAAUAAGGAUCGGCUAACUCCGUGCCAGCAGCCGCGGUAAUACGGAGGAUCCGAGCGUUAUCCGGAUUUAUUGGGUUUAAAGGGUGCGUAGGCGGCCUUUUAAGUCAGCGGUGAAAGUCUGUGGCUCAACCAUAGAAUUGCCGUUGAAACUGGGAGGCUUGAGUAUGUUUGAGGCAGGCGGAAUGCGUGGUGUAGCGGUGAAAUGCUUAGAUAUCACGCAGAACCCCGAUUGCGAAGGCAGCCUGCCAAGCCAUGACUGACGCUGAUGCACGAAAGCGUGGGGAUCAAACAGGAUUAGAUACCCUGGUAGUCCACGCAGUAAACGAUGAUCACUAGCUGUUUGCGAUACACAGUAA
rnacentral:rRNA from 1 species